AGAGUUUGAUCAUGGCUCAGAACGUACGCUGGCGGCACGCCUAACACAUGCAAGUCGAACGCAGUAGCAAUACUGAGUGGCAAACGGGUGAGUAUAAUGUGGGAAUCUGCCUUUUGGUUUGGAAUAACACGGGGAAACUUGUGCUAAUACCGAAUAAGCCUUUACGGGGAAAGUUUUAACGCCAAAAGAUGAGCCUGCACUUGAUUAGCUAGUUGGUAAGGUAAAGGCUUACCAAGGCAAUGAUCAAUAGCUGUUCUUAGAGGAAGACCAGCCACAUUGGGACUGAGACACGGCCCAGACUCCUACGGGAGGCAGCAGUGGGGAAUCUUGCACAAUGGGGGAAACCCUGAUGCAGCGAUGCCGCGUGAGUGAAGAAGGCCCUUGGGUUGUAAAACUCUUUCGUCGGGGAAGAAAAUGACUGUACCCGAAUAAGAAGGUCCGGCUAACUUCGUGCCAGCAGCCGCGGUAAUACGAAGGGACCUAGCGUAGUUCGGAAUUACUGGGCUUAAAGAGCUCGUAGGUGGUUAAAAAAGUUGAUGGUGAAAUCCCAAGGCUCAACCUUGGAACUGCCAUCAAAACUUUUUAGCUAGAGUGUGAUAGAGGUAAGUGGAAUUUCUAGUGUAGAGGUGAAAUUCGUAGAUAUUAGAAAGAACACCAAAUGCGAAGGCAACUUACUGGGUCACUACUGACACUGAGGAGCGAAAGCAUGGGUAGCGAAGAGGAUUAGAUACCCUCGUAGUCCAUGCCGUAAACGAUGUGUGCUAGACGUUGGAAAUAUAUUUUUCAGUGUCGCAGCGAAAGCAUUAAGCACACCGCCUGGGGAGUACGACCGCAAGGUUAAAACUCAAAUGAAUUGACGGGGACCCGCACAAGCAGUGGAGCAUGU
rnacentral:rRNA from 1 species